CUUUGAUUAUGGCUCAGGAUGAACGCUGGCGGCGUGCCUAACACAUGCAAGUCGAACGGGGUUAUGGAGAGGAAGUUUUCGGAUGGAAUCUGCAUAACUUAGUGGCGGACGGGUGAGUAACGCGUGGGAAACCUGCCCUGUACCGGGGGAUAACACUUAGAAAUAGGUGCUAAAACCGCAUAAGCGCACGGUGCCGCAUGGCAGUGUGUGAAAAACUCCGGUGGUACAGGAUGGUCCCGCGUCUGAUUAGCCAGUUGGCAGGGUAACGGCCUACCAAAGCGACGAUCAGUAGCCGGCCUGAGAGGGUGACGGCCACAUUGGGACUGAGACACGGCCCAAACUCCUACGGGAGGCAGCAGUGGGGAAUAUUGCACAAUGGGGGAAACCCUGAUGCAGCGACGCCGCGUGAGUGAAGAAGUAUUUCGGUAUGUAAAGCUCUAUCAGCAGGGAAGAAAACGACGGUACCUGAGUAAGAAGCCCCGGCUAACUACGUGCCAGCAGCCGCGGUAAUACGUAGGGGGCGAGCGUUAUCCGGAUUUACUGGGUGUAAAGGGAGCGUAGACGGCGAUGCAAGUCUGGAGUGAAAACCCAGGGCUCAACCCUGGGAUUGCUUUGGAAACUGUAUAGCUGGAGUGCAGGAGAGGCAGGCGGAAUUCCUAGUGUAGCGGUGAAAUGCGUAGAUAUUAGGAGGAACACCAGUGGCGAAGGCGGCCUGCUGGACUGAGACUGACGUUGAGGCUCGAAGGCGUGGGGAGCAAACAGGAUUAGAUACCCUGGUAGUCCACGCGGUAAACGAUGAUUGCUAGGUGUAGGUGGGUAUGGACCCAUCGGUGCCGGAGCUAACGCAAUAAGCAAUCCACCUGGGGAGUACGUUCGCAAGAAUGCAACUCAAAUGAAUUGACGGA
rnacentral:rRNA from 1 species